AAAGAAACCAACCGGGAUUGCCUCAGUAACGGCGAGUGAAGCGGCAAGAGCUCAAAUUUGAAAUCUGGCCCCUCCGGGGUCCGAGUUGUAAUUUGCAGAGGAUGCUUCGGAUGCGGCCCCCGUCUAAGUCCCCUGGAACGGGGCGUCGGAGAGGGUGAGAAUCCCGUCUGGGACGGGGUGUCCGCGUCCGUGUGAAGCUCCUUCGACGAGUCGAGUUGUUUGGGAAUGCAGCUCUAAAUGGGUGGUAAAUUUCAUCUAAAGCUAAAUACUGGCCGGAGACCGAUAGCGCACAAGUAGAGUGAUCGAAAGAUGAAAAGCACUUUGAAAAGAGAGUUAAAAAGCACGUGAAAUUGUUGAAAGGGAAGCGUAUGCGACCAGACUCGCCGGCGGGGUUCAACCGGGAUUCGUCCCGGUGUACUUCCCCGCCGGCGGGCCAGCGUCGGUUUGGGCGGCCGGUCAAAGGCCUCCGGAAUGUAUCGCCCCCCGGGGCGUCUUAUAGCCGGAGGUGCAAUGCGGCCUGCCCGGACCGAGGAACGCGCUUCGGCACGGACGCUGGCAUAAUGGUCGUAUAUGAC
rnacentral:rRNA from 1 species